AAGUCGUAACAAGGUAACCGUAGGUGAACCUGCGGUUGGAUCAUUACAAAAUGAUGGGUCUUGAAAGCGUGUAAGUUGAUGACUGAAAACUUUCGAGACUUAACAACCCUUUGUGCACAAAAAUGUUUUUUGGGCUGGCUUCUUUUAGAGGCAAGCCCAGCAUAUUAUGCCUGCGAGUCACGCAAGUGUUAGCAAGCAUAAGUAAACACCUUUUUUAAUUUGACUGAAUUUUUUUGAAAUAUAAAAAAUAACAACUUUUGACAACGGAUCUCUUAGCUCUU
rnacentral:misc_RNA from 1 species